rnacentral:rRNA from 1 species
UCAGGCCUAACACAUGCAAGUCGAGGGGUAGAAUGUCUUCGGAUAUUUGAGACCGGCGCACGGGUGCGUAACGCGUAUGCAACCUACCUCUUACUGGGGAAUAGCCCGGAGAAAUUCGGAUUAAUGCCCCAUAUGCUCGUACGACCUCAUGGUCGAGCGAGGAAAGUUCCGGCGGUAAGAGAUGGGCAUGCGUCCUAUUAGCUAGUUGGUGAGGUAAUGGCUCACCAAGGCGACGAUAGGUAGGGGGCCUGAGAGGGUGAUCCCCCACACUGGUACUGAGACACGGACCAGACUCCUACGGGAGGCAGCAGUGAGGAAUAUUGGGCAAUGGAGGAAACUCUGACCCAGCCAUGCCGCGUGCAGGAAGACGGCCCUAUGGGUUGUAAACUGCUUUUGUACGAGAAUAAACCUUUCCACGUGUGGAAAGCUGAAGGUACCGUACGAAUAAGGAUCGGCUAACUCCGUGCCAGCAGCCGCGGCAAUACGGAGGAUCCAAGCGUUAUCCGGAUUUAUUGGGUUUAAAGGGUCCGUAGGCGGGUUUUUAAGUCAGUGGUGAAAGCCUACAGCUUAACUGUAGAAUUGCCAUUGAUACUGGAGACCUUGAGUGUAGUAGAAGUAGGCGGAAUAAGGCAUGUAGCGGUGAAAUGCAUAGAUAUGCCUUAGAACACCGAUUGCGAAGGCAGCUUACUAUGUUACAACU